rnacentral:tRNA from 1 species
GGUGCAGUGGUUAAGCACUCGACUGCUAAUCGAAAGGUUGGUGGUUCAAACCCACC